CUCGUAAGCGUGAGUCACUAGCUUGUGUUGAAUACGUCCCUGAUCUUUGUCCCCACCGCCCGUCGCUACUACCGACGAGUUGCUUAGUGAGAUCUUUGGAG
rnacentral:ncRNA from 1 species